AAAGCUAGCAGGUUCUGUGGAGAAGGAAGAGUGUCUUGGGGGAGGAUAAGAAGAACCGAGUGGGUGAAACCGAGUUGGAGGGAGCAGAGAAGGGAACAGCAGGAUGGAAGUGCCAGCUCUGCAGGCAGGCUCCUGAGGGCAGAGCCGAGGCCUGAUGUGGGCACUGCCAGCCCCGCUAAUGGGGAAACGGUAGCUGCCUCGGCAGAAUCCCAGAGGCAUUCCGGAACAGGGGCUAUCACACCUUCCCUUCCUUCAUCACCCCAGGGACAGCCUGUCACACCGAUGCUGCCCCCAGAACACCAGUGUGUUCCAUGUGUGUGAAGGAUGCAAACUGACCUUUAAUUCAAAGGUGUCUGGAUGAUUAGGGGUUGGAUUUGAGGAGUCACGUCUGGACACAAUGUGGAUGAGGAGACGCUGGACUCUGGGCUGAAGUCUACAGGAGGAUGAGGCCUCGGCUGUGGGACCCCGUUUCAAAUGGCAGUUUAAAAUGGAAAACAUUUUAAGCGGCCUCCGCCCAGCUCCAUCAAUGCAGCCUGCAAGAAGACACACUCCCGAGGUCGGAUCAUUAGAGGGGCUUUAAUCUUUUAGAACAAUGUUUCAAUACUGUUUACACCAGGGGCUUUCUUGUACAAACCGUCUUUACACCAGACAAGAAUAACAUAGGAAGGAACUAUUUGUCUCUGAUCUCUGCAAAGAAGGAGAGCAAAUGGGAACCCUUAGGGGCUUUUUCGUCUUUUAAACCUACCAGGAGGAGAUUAAUCAAAGAUACCUAUGCUGUCUGAUGUACGAUCAGUUACAUAGCUGCAGUGCCAUUGAUCAAGUUUUGGUGAAAGAACGAAAUAGCAGCGUCGGGAGCAGCGACAUGGUGGGAGCAGAAACAAGCCCUGGGACCCUGCUCUGGGCACAAAGCAACGUCUGAGGAGGUGUGAGGCCUUCACAGCUUCUUCUGGGGAGCCUCCGUCAACGGCCUUUCAUCUGUGCAGAGUCUCACUCUUAUCAACACUGGUUUGCUUAUUAUUUAAUCCAUGUUUUAGUGUACAUUUUACAUAUACCAAGCACUUUUUUAUGAAUUAAAUAUGAUCUUAUUUAAUGCUCACAAUGACAGGUGAAAUAAGCCUGACAGGAGUUAAAGAGUAUGGGGAGCAGCUGCCCUGUCCCGGGCCCCUGUCACAGACACGCCAAAAUAGAAGAAGGUCUUGCAUUACAGGUACUUCCUUCAGCUCUCGUAGUAAGCAGCUUUCGAGAUGUCUUUCUGUAGAAAUCAAUUAAACACGCAGCAAACAUUCAGUGGGUAGGGGCUUAGGAAAUGAUAGAGAACAGUGACCCUACUGAAGACACGCAAAAAAAGGAAGGAGGAAGCUGAAGUACUAAAGAAGAUGGGCGCAUGCACACACACAUGCACAUACGCACAUGCACCCACACGCACACACACAUGCAUGUAUGCACACGCACCCACACAUGCACACAUGCACACGCACUCACAUGCACACACACAUGCACUCACGCACAGACAUACAUGCACAUACACACAUGCACCUGUAUGCACACAAGCACACACACAUGCACACAUAUGCACAUGCACCCAUAUGCACACAGGUACACACACACAUGCACAUACACACAUGCACACACAUGCAUACAUACACAAUGCACACACGCACAAGUGCACACAUAUAUACACACAUGCACACACGCACAAGUGCACACAUAUAUACACACAUGCACACAAGCACACACAUGCACAUACAUACAUACAUACUCAAUGAACACGCAUGCACAUGUGCACACACAUUCACACAGGCACAUGCACACACUUAUGCACAUGUGCACACACACACAUACAGAGGAACUAAUUCAAAAACAGAGCAGUUAUCCAUUCAAAUCUGUGCAUCUGCAAUUUCCUCUGAAUGAUUCUUUUCCUAAGCAACACCUUGCGGUUAAUGAAUCAGUUUUAAAAUCACAGAAAUUUAUUUUGGGGGUGAAGACACUUUGAGCAGAUAGUACAGACAGUUACAUCAUGAAAAAGAGUGUUUAUUUUGAAGGUGUCAAUUUGAACGCAAUUAUAGCCCAUUCACAAGAAGCAGCAAAUAUGCAGAGCUUAAACCUCCUGACCUCUGGAUAGAAAAAUUGCACAAUGGUGAUGAAGACUCUGAUUGGAUGGGUUUUAUCUUUAUUAUUUUUUAGGAGACUGAAGGCUUAUUUUGUAUAUACCCUUUCCUUAAGAUGAAGGGUAUUUAAUUAGAUUUUUAGAAUGCUAUUUUAAAAUUAAUUAUGGAUGACUUUUUAACUGCAUCAAUUUCAUUCUUUAAGGAUAUUUGAAUCUAUGUUCAUGAAUGAGUUUGGCUUACAUUUUGUUAUCAUUUCUCCGUCAUCAUUUGGCAUCAGUUUUUUUUCUGGCAUGUUAAACUGGUUAGAGUGUAUUUAAUAAUUCUCUAUGAUCUAAAAAAUUUUGUAAAAUAUUGCUAUUGUUUCCUCAUUAAACAUCUGGUAAAGUUUGCUAAUGUAGUUUCUGUGGCCUGGAGUUUUCAUAAUAGUUCCACUUAUUUACACAUUUUAUGAUGAUUUUAUUUCUGUAUCUCUUUGGCCAGGCUUUGUGAAGUAUGUUUUUGAGGAUUAAGCUAUUUAAUACACACUUCAAAAUCACUGCUGUUCUAUUCUUCCUAAUGUGUUACUCUAUUAAAAACUUUGAAGUGACAAUGAU